AGUGAACGCUGGCGGUAGGCCUAACACAUGCAAGUCGAACGGCAGCACAGUAAGAGCUUGCUCUUACGGGUGGCGAGUGGCGGACGGGUGAGGAAUACAUCGGAAUCUACUUUUUCGUGGGGGAUAACGUAGGGAAACUUACGCUAAUACAGCAUACGACCUACGGGUGAAAGCAGGGGAUCUUCGGACCUUGCGCGAUUGAAUGAGCCGAUGUCGGAUUAGCUAGUUGGCGGGGUAAAGGCCCACCAAGGCGACGAUCCGUAGCUGGUCUGAGAGGAUGGUCGGCCACACUGGAACUGAGACACGGUCCAGACUCCUACGGGAGGCAGCAGUGGGGAAUAUUGGACAAUGGGCGCAAGCCUGAUCCAGCCAUACCGCGUGGGUGAAGACGGCCUUCGGGUUGUAAAGCCCUUUUGUUGGGAAAGAAAAGCAGCAGGUUAAUACCCCGCUGUUCUGACGGUACCCAAAGAAUAAGCACCGGCUAACUUCGUG
rnacentral:rRNA from 1 species